UGGAGAGUAUCGCUAAAUGGUCAAGCAACUCGUCUUGAAAACGAGGACUGGGUAAUACCUGGGGGUUCGAUUCCUCUACUCUCCGUC
rnacentral:tRNA from 1 species